UACAGAGGUCCCAAGCGUUGUUCGGAUUCAUUGGGCGUAAAGGGUGCGUAGGUGGCGCCGUAAGUGGGGUGUGAAAUUUCGGAGCUUAACUCCGAAACUGCAUUCCAUACUGCGGUGCUUGAGGACUGGAGAGGAGACUGGAAUUUACGGUGUAGCAGUGAAAUGCGUAGAGAUCAUGAGGAAGACCAGUGGCGAAGGCGGGUCUCUGGACAGUUCCUGACACUGAGGCACGAAGGCCAGGGGAGCAAACGGG
rnacentral:rRNA from 1 species